AUUGUAUGCCACCGUGGCGCUCCUUCCCUGUACCGCUUUCAUUUCUUUCUACACUCCACACUUUGAAGUGAUUACUAAACUUCUCGGAUCACCGGCGCAGUGCUGAUCAUCCAAUAUUUGAUUUGAUUAAAUCUGGCAAAUCUAGGGUUAGGGCUUCACACUUGAUUGGCAAAAGAUGAAGUUUUUCUACAAAAUCUGCCAGAAUCAACCUCAGAGAUUGUCGCUUGCAGGGCUUUUCGUGAUUUUGCUCCCGGUUGCCCUUCCUAAUCUCUUCGGUCCAUUAGGCCGUGCUUCCCCUUCACUGUUCUCCGAAUGGAAUGCUCCAAAACCUGUGCACUUGAAUCUACUGAAAGGUGCUUUCAAUCGCCAUACUUCAAUCAGACAUGAAUCUGAGCUCUGGUCUCCUUUACCCUAUCAUGGCUGGAAACCAUGUAUUGAGCCCACAACUGUUCCUUCAUUGCCAAGAAAAUCUCAAGGAUAUAUUCAGGUAUUUCUUGACGGAGGCUUGAACCAGCAAAGAAUGGGGAUAUGCGAUGCAGUUGCUGUUGCCAAGAUACUGAAUGCCACGCUUGUGAUCCCUCACCUUGAAGUAAAUCCUGUUUGGCAAGAUUCGAGUUCAUUCAUGCACAUAUUCGAUGUGGAUCACUUCAUCAGUGUUUUACAUGAUGAUGUUUCUAUAGUUACAGAGCUACCUAGCGAGUAUUCUUGGAGUUCGCGGGAGUAUUAUGCUACAGGUAUACGAGCUACUAGAAUUAAAACAGCACCUGUUCAUGCUUCCGCGGACUGGUAUCUGGAAAAUGUAUUGCCCAUUCUGCAAAGUUAUGGGAUUGCUGCAAUUGCUCCAUUUUCUCAUCGCCUAGCUUUUGAAAACUUGCCUGUAAACAUCCAGCGCCUACGUUGCAAAGUCAACUUUCAAGCAUUAGUUUUUGUUCCUCAUAUCAAGGCAUUAGGAGAGACACUUGUAAAUCGCCUUAGAUAUUCAUCUGGCAAGCUCCAAUCUUCAGGAAAUGAAAUCCAGCUGGGGAGAAUGGAUGAUGGCGGAAAGGAAGCGGGAAAGUUUGUGGUCUUACAUCUUCGCUUUGACAAAGAUAUGGCUGCUCAUUCAGCUUGUGAUUUUGGUGGAGGAAAAGCUGAAAAACUGGCUCUUGCGAAAUACCGUCAAGUUAUUUGGCAGGGAAGAGUCUUAAAAACUCAGUUCACCGAUGUAGAGUUGAGAAACGAAGGACGCUGCCCAUUGACUCCUGAAGAGAUAGGAUUGCUGCUUGCAGCUUUGGGCUUCAACAAUAAUACUCGCCUUUAUCUUGCAUCACACAAGGUUUACGGUGGAGAAGCAAGGAUCUCAACUUUGCAAAAACUGUUUCCCGCAAUGGAAGAUAAGAAAAGCCUCGUCUCUAAAGAGGAACUGGCCAAGGUUGAAGGCAAGGCUUCUUUGUUGGCUGCGGUUGACUAUUAUGUUAGCAUGCAGAGUGACAUUUUCAUCUCUGCUUCUCCAGGAAACAUGCACAAUGCUCUGGUCGGACAUCGAGCCUAUCUAAACUUGAAAACCAUAAGACCAAACAUGAUACUGUUGAGCCAGCUGUUCCUGAACAAGAGUAUGGAGUGGUCUGAGUUUCAACAAGCAGUCAUCGAUGGACAUAGAAGUAGACAAGGGCAGAUAAGAUUAAGAAAGGCGGAGAAAUCCAUAUAUACAUACCCUGCUCCUGAUUGUAUGUGUCAAGCUUCAUCAAAAUAGUUGGGAGACUAAUGUUGAUCAUCUUUGUAGACGUUAGCAAGCGCAACUCACUAUGCUUGAUGAUGGAUGGGGUAUCAAAGUGAUAGAGAGGACGGUUAUGUGUUUGCAAGACUUGUGUGGCAUAUAUGGGAGAGUGCAAGUUGUUUUAGUACGUUUAGAUAAAGUGCAAAAUUCCUCAAUGACUAGGGAAUGUGUG